UAGGGAUAAAAUACCUUAUAAUUAUAAAGAAACAUAGUUUUGCUUUAAGAUGUUAAUUACCUUCGUGUUGUAUUAGUUAAAGUAAAAAUUUAACUAGCUUAAUACACGUAGUCGUAACUGAAAGGUUGAUCGACCACAAUGUGGCCUGAACAAAGCCCAUGACUUGUUUACAGCAGUGAGGAAUAUUGGUCAAUAGCCUAACGGCUGAACCAGCAACUUGGAAGAAUGUAUAGCAAGAGCUAAUUGUAUUAACAAAAAAAAUAGUUUUUACAAUCUCGAUUUAUUCGAAUAAAAUUCUAGGUAGAUUUAUGAUAAUGACAUUAUCUAUCUAUGUGUCUUGACCAAAGUACGUGCCAGCAGUCGCGGUAAUACGUAAAAGACUAGUGUUAUUCAUCUUUAAUUGGUUUAAAGCGUACCUAGACGGUAAUUAUAGCCUAAACCAGGUACUUUUUUACUAGAGUUAUAUGUAAGGGUGUAUUAAAGUACUGUUGAGUUUAGAGAUGAAAUUCUUUGACACCAGAUAAUUGGCACAGGUAUAGGCGAAAGCAUCACUUUAUGUAAUAACUGACGUUGAGGGACGAAGGCUAUGUGUCGCGAACAGGAUUAGAUACCCUAGUAGUCUUAGCAGAAAAUUAUGAAUGUCAUAGGUUAGAUUUUAUUUGGUCUAUAAAUGAAAGUGUAAGCAUUCCACCUCAAGAGUAAUUUGGCAACAUUGGAACUGAAAUCAUUAGACCGUUUCUGAAACCAGUAGUGAAGUAUGUUGUUUAAUUUGAUGACCCGCAAAAAACCUUACCACAAUUUGAAUAUAUUUUUACAAGCGUUGCACGGCUGUCUUCAGUUAAUGUCGUGAGAUUUUGGUUAAGUCCAUUUAAUUAACGUAAACCCUUACUCUAUUUUUAUAUAGAGUUUUCCACCGUCAUAUUGG
rnacentral:rRNA from 1 species